UACGGAGGGCGCAAGCGUUGUUCGGAAUCAUUGGGCGUAAAGCGCGUGCAGGCGGCUUGGUAAGUCGGGUGUGAAAGCCCGGGGCUCAACCCCGGAACUGCACCCGAUACUGCCUCGCUAGAGUCUCGGAGAGGAUGGCGGAAUUUCCGGUGUAGAGGUGAAAUUCGUAGAGAUCGGAAGGAACACCAGCGGCGAAGGCGGCCAUCUGGACGGUGACUGACGAUCAGACGCGAAAGAGUGGGGAGCAAACAGG
rnacentral:rRNA from 1 species